rnacentral:rRNA from 1 species
UAGGGAAUCUUCGGCAAUGGGGGAACCCUGACCGAGCAACGCCGCGUGAGUGAAGAAGGUUUUCGGAACGUAAAGCUCUGUUGUUAAGGAAGAACGAGUGUGAGAAUGGAAAGUUCAUGCUGUGACGGUACUUAACCAGAAAGGGACGGCUAACUACGUGCCAGCAGCCGCGGUAAUACGUAGGUCCCGAGCGUUGUCCGGAUUUAUUGGGCGUAAAGCGAGCGCAGGCGGUUAGAAAAGUCUGAAGUGAAAGGCAGUGGCUCAACCAUUGUAUGCUUUGGAAACUGUUUAACUUGAUUGCAGAAGAGGAGAGUGGAAUUCCAUGUGUAGCGGUGAAAUGCGUAGAUAUAUGGAGGAACACCGGUGGCGAAAGCUGCUCUCUGGUCUGUAACUGACGCUGAGGCUCGAAAGCGUUGGGAGCGAACAGG